CAGUGGGGAAUCUUAGACAAUGGGCGAAAGCCUGAUCUAGCCAUGCCGCGUGAGUGAUGAAGGCCUUAGGGUUGUAAAGCUCUUUCGCCAGGGAUGAUAAUGACAGUACCUGGAAAAGAAGCCCCGGCUAACUCCGUGCCAGCAGCCGCGGUAAUACGGAGGGGGCUAGCGUUGUUCGGAAUUACUGGGCGUAAAGCGCACGUAGGCGGAUCAGAAAGUAAGGGGUGAAAUCCCGAGGCUCAACCUCGGAACUGCCUUUUAAACUCCUGGUCUUGAGUUCGAGAGAGGUGAGUGGAAUUCCAAGUGUAGAGGUGAAAUUCGUAGAUAUUGGGAGGAACACCAGUGGCGAAGGCGGCUCACUGGCUCGAUACUGACGCUGAGGUGCGAAAGUGUGGGGAGCAAACAGGAUUAGAUACCCUGGUAGUCCACACCGUAAACGAUGAAUGCCAGACGUCGGGUAGCAUGCUAUUCGGUGUCGCACCUAACGGAUUAAGCAUUCCGCCUGGGGAGUACGGUCGCAAGAUUAAAA
rnacentral:rRNA from 1 species